rnacentral:rRNA from 1 species
AGAGUUUGAUCAUGGCUCAGGACGAACGCUGGCGGCGUGCCUAAUACAUGCAAGUUGCACGCUUGAUUUUCACCGAAGCUUGCUUCACCGAAAAUCAAGAGUAGCGAACGGGUGAGUAACGCGUGGGUAACCUACCUAUCAGCGGGGGAUAACUAUUGGAAACGAUAGCUAAUACCGCAUAACAAUGUUGGAUGCAUAUUCGACAUUUGAAAGUACCAAUUGGUACACUGAGAGAUGGACCCGCGUUGUAUUAGCUAGUUGGUAGUGUAAUGGACUACCAAGGCGAUGAUACAUAGCCGACCUGAGAGGGUGAUCGGCCACAUUGGGACUGAGACACGGCCCAAACUCCUACGGGAGGCAGCAGUAGGGAAUCUUCGGCAAUGGACGAAAGUCUGACCGAGCAACGCCGCGUGAGUGAAGAAGGUUUUCGGAUCGUAAAACUCUGUUGUUAGAGAAGAACGUUGCAUAGAGUGGAAAAUUAUGCAAGUGACGGUAUCUAACCAGAAAGGGACGGCUAACUACGUGCCAGCAGCCGCGGUAAUACGUAGGUCCCGAGCGUUGUCCGGAUUUAUUGGGCGUAAAGCGAGCGCAGGUGGUUUAAUAAGUCUGAUGUAAAAGGCAGUGGCUCAACCAUUGUGUGCAUUGGAAACUGUUAGACUUGAGUGCAGUAGAGGAGAGUGGAAUUCCAUGUGUAGCGGUGAAAUGCGUAGAUAUAUGGAGGAACACCGGUGGCGAAAGCGGCUCUCUGGACUGUCACUGACACUGAGGCUCGAAAGCGUGGGUAGCAAACAGGAUUAGAUACCCUGGUAGUCCACGCCGUAAACGAUGAGUGCUAGUUGUUUGGGGCUAUCCAGCCCUAAGUGACGCAGCA